rnacentral:rRNA from 1 species
GAUGAACGCUAGCGGCAGGCGUAAUACAUGCAAGUCGAACGGUAAGGUCUCUUCGGAGAUACACGAGUGGCGCACGGGUGCGUAACGCGUAUGCAACCUACCUUUAACUGGGAAAUAGCCCCGAGAAAUCGGGUUUAAUGUCCCAUAUUAUUCUCUGAUAGCAUUAUCGGGGAAUGAAAGCUCCGGCGGCUAUUGAUGGGCAUGCGUGACAGUAGCUAGUUGGUGAGGUAACGGCUCACCAAGGCAACGAUGUCUAGGGGUCCUGAGAGGGUUAACCCCCACACUGGUACUGAGACACGGACCAGACUCCUACGUGAGGCAGCAGUAAGGAAUAUUGGGCAAUGGACGCAAGUCUGACCCAGCCAUGCCGCGUGAAGGAUGACUGUCCUAUGGAUUGUAAACUUCUUUUAUGCAGGAAAAAUAGCCUGGUCGUGAACCGGGUUUGAUGGUACUGUAUGAAUAAGCAUCGGCUAACUCCGUGCCAGCAGCCGCGGUAA